GUUGGCUUGGAAGCAGCCAUUCAUUUAAAGAGUGCGUAACAGCUCACUAGUCGAGCGGUUUGGCGUGGAUAAUAAUCGGGCAUAAGCUAUUUACCGAAGCUGUGGAAUAUAAUAUAUUGGUAGGGGGGCAUUCCAUAUUCGUUGAAGAUAGAGGGUUACCUUUAUUGGAGGGUAUGGAAAAGCAAAUGUAGGUAUAAGUAACGAUAAGGAGGGCGCGAACCCCUCCCGCCGGAAGACUGAGGAUUCCUGAACAACGUUAAUCGGUUCAGGGUUAGUCGGGACCUAAGGAGAAGCCGAAAGGCGCAUCUGAUGGAAGAACAGGUUAAUAAUCCUGUACUGGCGUAUGGAGCGAAGUGGGGACGGAGAAGUGAAAGUCCUGCGUACUGACGGAAUAGUACGUUGAAGGGUGUAGGUGUAGAUAUUCGUAGGCAAAUCCGCGGAUAGAGCCGAACCUGAAAGUACCGAGCGUCUUCGGACAAUCGGAUAUGGAUGUAAUCAGACUCCCUAGAAAAACCGCUAAGCAUAUUCAUACGGCACCCGUACCAUAAACGGACACACGUGGUCAAGUAUAAAGUAUUAAGGCGCUCGAGUGAUCCGCGGCUAAGGAACUAGGCAAAAUAGUCCUGUAACUUCGGAAAAAGGGACACCUACCCAGCGAUGGGAGGUCGCAGAAGAAUGGCCCAGGCGACUGUUUAACAAAAACAUAGGGCUUUGCCAAAUCGCAAGAUGAAGUAUAAGGCCUGACACCUGCCCGGUGCUGGAAGGUUAAGAGGAGAUGUCAUCGCAAGAGAAGCAUUGAAUUGAAGCCCCAGUAAACGGCGGCCGUAACUAUAACGGUCCUAAGGUAGCGAAAUUCCUUGUCGGGUAAGUUCCGACCUGCACGAAUGGUGUAACGAUCUGGGCACUGUCUCAACCGCGAGCUCGGUGAAAUUGUAGUAUCGGUGAAGAUGCCGAUUACCCGCAACGGGACGAAAAGACCCCGUGAACCUUUACUAUAGCUUUGCAUUGGAUUUGGGUAACAAAUGUGUAGGAUAGGCCGGAGGCUGAGAAGUGGGCACGCCAGUGCUUGUGGAGCCGCCGUUGAAAUACGGCCCUUUUGUUAUUUGGGUUCUAACUCGCGAGAUGCGAGGACAUUGCAUGGUGGGUAGUUUGACUGGGGUGGUCGCCUCCAAAAGCGUAACGGAGGCUUCUAA
rnacentral:rRNA from 1 species